rnacentral:lncRNA from 12 species
GUUUCAUUUCAUGGCAUCGAAAGGGCUUACCGAUUCGGUUCUUUAAGUUAUUUCUAACUAUUAACUCGAAGCAUUUCGUGUAUACGUACAGCACAGUUUUGCCGAGAGCUUCAGCUCGUUCAUUGAGAAAUUAGGCAGCCUUCUGUGGUGUUUGAUUAGCAGGUCUCGAUGGGAGGAGUCGUGCUCACCCACAGACUGAGUGAAAGCCAGGCAGGCGAUGAAGAUGGUGGAUCCAGACACACAUCGGGUGGACCGUUAGCUCUCUGGAAACUGCAGCAAACGAACAGCAUCCUGAUCCUGAGCUCUGACCCUAACAACCUCAAAGUCCCUAACCCAUCUACCUCGACAUCCCUCUCUACCCUGGUACUGGCACUGCUUCCCCCACAGAAGAUCGAUGAGCCUGAGAGGUGAGUGCCGGUCUCAUUUUGUCAUGUAUUUGACAAAGAUCCAAUAUCUCAGUCCCUGCAUUGCUCUUUCUAUCUCACAGUCUUUGGAUGUUUUCAUAUCUCACUCAAAACGUUCUCAAACUCAAGAGCUAAAAAUGCAAAUUGAACAGAUGGACUGAAGAGACUCAGUGUCACUGAGUGAGAACUAUUAAGAAAAAGAAGGUUUCAGUAUCUUAUCCUCUCAGUUUGUAGACUAACCUCUAAUAGAUCUUUUCUGGAAAGCUCUGUAUGCAGACAGUUGCCGUCUAAGGCAGUAUCCUGUUCAUUAUGGAACCUCUUAAAGGAAUAAUUCCCAAAAAAAAAAAAAGAAAAAGAAAAUUAUGUCAUUAAUUACUCACCCUCAUGUUGUUCCAAACCUGUAAGACCUUCGCUCUUCUUCAGAACACAAAGAUAUUUUGGAUCAAAUCUGAGAGCUUUCUGACCCUCCACAGACAGCAACACAACCACCAUGUUCAGUGCCCAAAAAGGUACUAAGGACAUCAUUAAAAUAAUCCAUGUGACAUCAGUGGUUUAACCGUAAUGUUAUGAAGCUACGAGAAUACUUUUUGUCCAAAAAUCAAAACAAAUGACUUUAUUCAACGAUUUCUUCUCUUGUACAGGAAUGAUGUACAUGGGCAGCAGUAACAUGGGCUCUCCAUGCAAGAAGCUCACAAAUAGCAUGGAAGACUUGACUUGCAAUUGAUUUCAAAAUUGCAGUUGAGUUAGCAAGUUGCCUAGCUAACGACAUGAUGCUCUAAUACGCAUAAAAAUACAAAGCACACAAACUUGAUGAAACAUUAAGUCACACAAUUAUUUUAAAGAAUACUUUAUAUAAUGUUUUAAUUAUAAAAUUGAUUUAUUUAUAAUUAAUAUUACAAAACUUCAAGAUUACAAAACUUAGUAAGAAUUAGCAGCGUUGUGUUGUUAUAUCUUAUUAGUUUUUACUUAAUAUACUCAAUCUAUACUAAAGAUCAGUGCUUCUUAAACCUGUCCUGGAGGACCCCCUGCCCUGCACCUUUUGUAUGUCUCCCUUAUCUAACACACCUGAUUCCACUCAUCAGCUCGUUAGUAGAGACUGCAAGAACUAAAUUGGGUGUGUUUGAUUAGGGAGACAUACAAAAUGUGCAGAGCAGGUUUGGGAAGCACUGCUGUAGAUAAAAUUGCUAUUACUGGUAUUAUUAUAAUGUCAAUUAUAAUAUAUAUAAUAUUAGAAUGUCAAAAAGUGGUUCAAAAACAAAUUCCAUUUCGUUUGGUUCCAUCCUAAAAAAUAAAGAGCACACAUAAAUUGUGUAAAAUAUUUCAUUUUUAAUCACACCAAAAAAAAAAAAAAAAUUAACAUUCCUAUGAAAUUUAUUUCUUCAUUGAGCUCUUUUGGGAUUGCUUUUUCCAUGUAAGAUACAAGUGAUCCUGCCUUAUAAUUUGGCAAAAACGACGUGUCUUAGGAGGAGGCAUAAUUAAAUCUGGAUCAACCGUUGGGCCUGGAGUGCACAUAUGAUGCCUCAAAGUGCAGUUUCCUUAGGCCUCUCGCUAGGUUUUGAAACAGAGCAUGACUUUCUCCUUCACUGACUGAGUGAAAUCUGUCCUUAAACAUCAGACUCUCAUUUCCUCUCUGGUCAGGACAAAAUAUCACUCUUAAUCUAACGUGUUUUCUUGUACUGUGGAGUGAUUGUUAGGACAGCAUUCACUUUCAUUUCUCCCUCUGUUCACUAUUGUCAGGUCAUGUGGAUCUACUUCUAAAAGCAUGUAAUGUGUCAAUGUCCAAAAUGUAAAAAAAAAAAAAAAAACAUGAUUUCUUAGGAGUAUUGUUUGAUUUGGAAAUCAUUUCAGGUAGGGAUUUCUUAUGCACCCAAUAUCACUUUCCACUCUGUUUGUUUCAGUUCUCUUUAGCUAACAAAAGCCAGUUCCUGAAUAACAUGACUUAUAAAAGUAUUAGCAAUUCUAUGUUGCUCUACGUGUUGUUCUAAUUGCAACAAUUAUAAUUCUUAAGUUUAAGCAUCUGUUCUUGACUAAAUCAUAUUGGUGAGUGUCUGUUUACACCUUUUAUAAAAAUACAUUCUUAAAUUCCAAUACAGACAUAAUAAUUUUGUAAAAGGUAAAGGGUUUAAACUGUAAUGGCUGUGUUAAAUGCAGCUGUUAAAGAGCCUGUGAUUUAUUUAUUUAUGAUUUAACACCAUGUCAGCAGCAGUGGUUAUAUUCAAAGAGCCAGUGAUUGAUUUCAGCACAGACAUGCUUUUAAACUGUUUCUAAUUUAAGUAUAUCUUGCAAUCUUAAAUUAAUCGGCUCUAUCAGAUUGCAACUGGAUUUGACUCUUAUCCUCCGGCAAUCCUUUUGAUUUUCAUUCUGCUUCAAGGGCAAAAGGCCAGGUAAUAUUUGUUGCUAUUGCAACAGCUGUGCAUUGUGUUAUAUAAAUAGUGAGAAGAGGAAGAAGCAGUAGAGACCGACCACACUAUUGUAAUAAUGGGGGUGUUGUCACUAAUCAAAAACCCUACAUCAGCUCUCAUGGGGAAAUCCAGUAGCUUUUUACCACUUGCUUUGUGUCAUUGAUUGAUUGAUUAUUUUCUUUUAUUUGUUUGUUUGUUUUUCCCCACUGUGAAACAUUUCCUGAAUUCUUAAGUGGGAAAUUAACAUUUUAAGAAGGGCACGUUCUUGAUUUAACUUUGAUUACAGUAUGUAGAGUCUGUAUUUCUUUCUUUCUUUCUUUCUUGCUUUCUUUCUUUCUUCAUUCAGUAUAAAAAGUAAACUUGUUUAAAAGGUUCACCCAAAAAUGAAAAUUCUCUUUUCCUCAUCCUCUUUUUUUCCUUUUUAAGUAAUACACAGACAAUUCAUUUUUUAAAUAUAUUCUAAGUCUUCUGAAACAAUUAUCUGUGAAUGCUCAAAAUUUCGUUCAGUUUCUCAUACAAACUCGUUUUAUGGAUUCAGAACAAGAAGUGGUUUAUACUGUUUUCAAGAUACUUUUUAAUGAUGAUUUGCUUCCUUUUUGAAACUUGAAAGCUCUUGUCUUCAUUCAUUGGAAUUGUUUGGAAAUUAGCAAGUAGCACAUUCUUCAAAAUAUCCCCUUUUGUGUUCCACAGAAGAAAGUCAACUUUCAUUUCUGUAAAGACUGUUUGGUGAAGUCUCAGGUUUGACAUUGAAAAUUAGAUAACUGGAGUCAUCUGAGAUUCCACUGUGUUAAGUGACUAUGAAAAAGCAGCAGAAACUAUUUUAAGUAACCUCUGUGUUGGAUUAGUAUUGUGAAAUUCAGCUACAAGUCCAAAUCUACACUGGUAGUGUAAUGUUUUCAUUAGUUCCUCUCUUUCUCACAGGUACUGUAAUCUUCCUUCUGCAUGUCAGUUGAUCUGCUAAUGUUACAUCAUCUAAGAGUUUGUUCACCUUGGUUUACAUCUGAUGGAUCAGCAGUCAGGCUGGAGGAAGAUUAUAAAAAACCACUUCCAGUCUUGAAGUAGGUCCUGUUGAAAGAAGAUAACAGUACUGAUUUCAAGCCCAUAUGUCCUGAAGGCUAUCUUUUGCUAAUGACUAAUUUUAUAAUGAAGGCAGGAUUAACAGGGUUUUACCAUGCAGCUCACCAAAAGUUAAAAUAAUUAGCAAUGCAUGCCACAAGUAAUUUUCUUCAUACUCCUUAUAAUUCAC